rnacentral:rRNA from 1 species
GAUGAACGCUGGCGGCGUGCCUAAUACAUGCAAGUCGAACGGACAGAUGAUGAGCUUGCUCCUCUGACGUUAGCGGCGGACGGGUGAGUAACACGUGGAUAACCUACCUAUAAGACUGGGAUAACUUCGGGAAACCGGAGCUAAUACCGGAUAAUAUAUUGAACCGCAUGGUUCAAUAGUGAAAGUCGGUUUUGCUGUCACUUCUCGAUGGAUCCGCGCCGCAUUAGCUAGUUGGUAAGGUAACGGCUUACCAAGGCGACGAUGCGUAACCGACCUGAGAGAGUGAUCGGCCACACUGGAACUGAGACACGGUCCAGACUCCUACGGGAGGCAGCAGUAGGGAAUCUUCCGCAAAGGGCGAAAGCCUGACGGAGCAACGCCGCGUGAGUGAUGAAGGUCUUCGGAGCGUAAAACUCUGUUAUUAGGUAUGAACAAAUGUGUAAGUAACUAUGCACGUCUUGACGGUACCUAGUCAGAAAGCCACGGCUAACUACGUG